CGAGUGAGCAAAGUCACUUUCCCUUCGGGGCAUUGGAGACAGGUGGUGCAUGGUUGUCGUCAGCUCGUGUCGUGAGAUGUUGGGUUAAGUCCCGCAACGAGCGCAACCCCUAUUUCCAGUAGCCAGCAAGAAAGAUGGGAACUCUGGAGAGACUGCCCGGGAUAACUGGGAGGAAGGCGGGGAUGACGUCAAAUCAUCAUGCCCCUUAUGAUCAGGGCUACACACGUGCUACAAUGGCGUAAACAAAGGGAAGCGAAGUGGUGACACGAAGCAAAUCCGAAAAAUAACGUCUCAGUUCGGAUUGUAGUCUGCAACUCGACUACAUGAAGCUGGAGUCGCUAGUAAUCGCGAAUCAGAAUGUCGCGGUGAAUACGUUCCGGGGUCUUGUACACACCGCCCGUCACACCAUGGGAGUCGGAAAUGCCCGAAGUCAGUGACCCAACCGAGAGGAGGGAGCUGCCGAAGGUGGAGCCGGUAACUGGGGUGAAGUCGUAACAAGGUAGCCGUAUCGGAAGGUGCGGCUGGA
rnacentral:rRNA from 1 species